rnacentral:rRNA from 1 species
CAGAUUAGAUCCCUUGUAGUCCNCGCUGUAAACGAUUUGAUUUGGAGGUUGUGCCCUUGAGGGGUGGUUUCCGGAGUUAACGCGUUAAAUUCGNCCGCCUGGGNAGUACGNCCGCAAGGUUAAGACUCAAAUGAAUUGACGGGGGGCCCGCACAAGCGGUGGAGCAUGUGGUUUAAUUCGAUGCAACGCGAAGAACCUUACCUACUCUUGACAUCCAGAGAACUUUCCAGAGAUGGAUUGGUGCUUCGGGAACUCUGAGACAGGUGCUGCAUGGCUGUCGUCAGCUCGUGUUGUGAAAUGUUGGGUUAAGUCCCGCAACGAGCGCAACCCUUAUCCUUUGUUGCCAGCGGUUCGGCCGGGAACUCAAAGGAGACUGCCAGUGAUAAACUGGAGGAAGGUGGGGAUGACGUCAAGUCAUCAUGGGCCCUUACGAGUAGGGCUACACACGUGCUACAAUGGCAUAUACAAAGAGAAGCGACCUCGCGAGAGCAAGCGGACCUCAUAAAGUAUGUCGUAGUCCGGAUUGGAGUCUGCAACUCGACUCCAUGAAGUCGGAAUCGCUAGUAAUCGUAGAUCAGAAUGCUACGGUGAAUACGUUCCCGGGCCUUGUACACACCGCCCGUCACACCAUGGGAGUGGGUUGCAAAAGAAGUAGGUAGCUUAACCUUCGGGAGGGCGCUUACCACUUUGUGAUUCAUGACUGGGGUGAAGUCGUAACAG